UACAGAGGUCCCGAGCGUUGUUCGGAUUUAUUGGGCGUAAAGAGCGUGUAGGCGGCCAGGUAGGUCAGCUGUGAAAACUCGAGGCUCAACCUCGAGACGUCGGUUGAAACCACCUGGCUAGAGUCCGGAAGAGGAGAGUGGAAUUCCUGGUGUAGCGGUGAAAUGCGCAGAUAUCAGGAGGAACACCGGUGGCGAAGGCGGGUCUCUGGGCCGAUACUGACGCUGAGGAGCGAAAGCGUGGGGAGCGAACAGG
rnacentral:rRNA from 1 species